GACGAACGCUGGCGGCGUGCUUAACACAUGCAAGUCGAGCGGUAAGGCCCUUUCGGGGGUACACGAGCGGCGAACGGGUGAGUAACACGUGGGUGACCUGCCCUCAGCUCUGGGAUAAGCCUGGGAAACCGGGUCUAAUACUGGAUAUGACUCCAUGACGCAUGUUGUGGGGUGGAAAGCCUUGUGCGGCUGAGGAUGGGCCCGCGGCCUAUCAGCUUGUUGGUGGGGNGAUGGCCUACCAAGGCGACGACGGGUAGCCGGCCUGAGAGGGCGACCGGCCACACUGGGACUGAGACACGGCCCAGACUCCUACGGGGA
rnacentral:rRNA from 1 species